UGCAUUCACUACUGUAAGUCGCUCUGGAUAAGAGCGUCUGCUAACAUGACUAAAA
rfam:Salmo salar isolate Sally breed double haploid chromosome ssa14, whole genome shotgun sequence.